rnacentral:rRNA from 1 species
AUUGAACGCUGCGGCAGGCUUAACACAUGCAAGUCGAGCGAGCGGCGGACGGGUUAGUAAUGCUUAGGAAUCUGCCUAUUAGUGGUGGACAACAUCUCGAAAGGGAUUCUAAUACCGCAUACUAAUAGAUGAGCAUAAGUCGGAUUAACUAGUUGGUGGGGUAAAGGCCUCAAAAGGCGACGAUCUGUAGCGGGUCUGAGAGGAUGAUCCGCCACACUGGGACUGAGACAAGGCCCAGACGCCUACGGGAGGAAGCAGGGGGGAAUAUUGGACAAUGGGGGGAACCCUGAUCCAGCCAGGCCGCGUGUGUGAAGAAGGCCUUAUGGUUGUAAAGCACUUUAAGCGAGGAGGCGUUACUCGCAGAAUAAGCACCGGCUAACUCUGUGCCAGCAGCCGCGGUAAUUC